rfam:Myotis brandtii contig154903, whole genome shotgun sequence.
GGCAGUUCUUGGGUGAUGCACCCUGGAAUCGGGCUCUCUGGUCCCAGGAGGGCCUCUCUGGUUCCAGGUCUGUCACCAGGGAACCGCA